UGUUCGAGUCUCUCAAAUUUUCACAACAUACGAGUGUGUCUUACGAGACAUCUUCGGGUUGUGAGGUUAAGCGACUAAGCGUACACGGUGGAUGCCCUGGCAGUCAGAGGCGAUGAAGGACGUGCUAAUCUGCGAUAAGCGUCGGUAAGGUGAUAUGAACCGUUAUAACCGACGAUUUCCGAAUGGGGAAACCCAGUGCAAUUCGUUGCACUAUCGUUAAGUGAAUACAUAGCUUAACGAAGCGAACCGAGGGAACUGAAACAUCUAAGUACCUCGAGGAAAAGAAAUCAACCGAGAUUCCCCCAGUAGCGGCGAGCGAACGGGGAACAGCCCAGAGUCUGAAUCAGUUUGUGCAUUAGUGGAAGCGUCUGGAAAGUCGCAGGGUACAGGGUGAUACUCCCGUACACAAAAAUGCACUUGCUGUGAACUCGAAGAGUAGGGCGGGACACGUGGUAUCCUGUCUGAAUAUGGGGGGACCAUCCUCCAAGGCUAAAUACUCCUGACUGACCGAUAGCGAACAAGUACCGUGAGGGAAAGGCGAAAAGAACCCCGGCGAGGGGAGUGAAACAGAACCUGAAACCGUGUACGUACAAGCAGUGGGAGCCUCUUUUAUGGGGUGACUGCGUACCUUUUGUAUAAUGGGUCAGCGACUUAUAUUCUGUAGCAAGGUUAACCGUAUAGGGGAGCCGCAGGGAAACCGAGUCUUAACUGGGCGUUAAGUUGCAGGGUAUAGACCCGAAACCCGGUGAUCUAGCCAUGGGCAGGUUGAAGGUUGGGUAACACUAACUGGAGGACCGAACCGACUAAUGUUGAAAAAUUAGCGGAUGACUUGUGGCUGGGGGUGAAAGGCCAAUCAAACCGGGAGAUAGCUGGUUCUCCCCGAAAGCUAUUUAGGUAGCGCCUCGUGAACUCAUCUUCGGGGGUAGAGCACUGUUUCGGCUAGGGGGCCAUCCCGGCUUACCAACCCGAUGCAAACUACGAAUACCGAAGAAUGUUAUCACGGGAGACACACGGCGGGUGCUAACGUCCGUCGUGAAGAGGGAAACAACCCAGACCGCCAGCUAAGGUCCCAAAGUCAUGGUUAAGUGGGAAACGAUGUGGGAAGGCACAGACAGCCAGGAUGUUGGCUUAGAAGCAGCCAUCAUUUAAAGAAAGCGUAAUAGCUCACUGGUCGAGUCGGCCUGCGCGGAAGAUGUAACGGGGCUAAACCAUGCACCGAAGCUGCGGCAGCGACGCUUAGGCGUUGUUGGGUAGGGGAGCGUUCUGUAAGCCGUCGAAGCUUACCUGUGAGGGUAGGUGGAGGUAUCAGAAGUGCGAAUGCUGACAUAAGUAACGAUAAAGCGGGUGAAAAACCCGCUCGCCGGAAGACCAAGGGUUCCUGUCCAACGUUAAUCGGGGCAGGGUGAGUCGACCCCUAAGGCGAGGCCGAAAGGCGUAGUCGAUGGGAAACAGGUUAAUAUUCCUGUACUCGGUGUGACUGCGAAGGGGGGACGGAGAGGGCUAUGUUAGCCGGGCGACGGUC
rnacentral:rRNA from 1 species